UACGGGGGGGGCAAGCGUUGUUCGGAAUUACUGGGCGUAAAGCGCGCGUAGGCGGCUUUUCAAGUCAGACGUGAAAUCCUUAGGCUUAACCUGAGAACUGCGUUUGAUACUGUUGGGCUAGAGUGUGGAAGGGGCUACUAGAAUUCCGUGUGUAGCGGUGAAAUGCGUAGAUAUACGGAGGAACACCAGCGGCGAAGGCGGCGUCCUGGACCAACACUGACACUGAUGAGCGAAAGCCAGGGGAGCAAACGGG
rnacentral:rRNA from 1 species